rnacentral:ncRNA from 23 species
UACCCUGUAGAACCGAAUUUGUG